UUUUCAGUAAUGAAAUAGUUAACAGCAGGCUAGUUUUGACUGACAGCCUGUUGUGAUUGCUAUGACCUAUGAGAAUUGAUUUCCUGCCUUUGAGGGUUGGAACUUCCUCUGGACUGAGGAAUGUUGUUUAUCUUAUCUGGGUGGUUCGGCUUGAGCUUUCGCUGAAAAUGGACUAUGAAUGCUAUGCUCUGAAGCCGAGAAAUGCAAACUGUAAAUAGACAUGUAAAUAAAGUUAAUCAACAGUUGGACUUCGUCUGCUGGAGUGUUUGUUUGACCAGUGCUGUUUCUCAGCAUGGGAAUACAGUCUGGAGAAGGAGAUAUAGUAAGCAUCUGGGUGCUGCAGAAGGAAGAAUGGAAUGCUAA
rnacentral:lncRNA from 11 species